rnacentral:misc_RNA from 1 species
GUUCAAGCGGAGCAAUAGCAUUUAUAACUGGUCAGACCAUUAGUAAAAAGAUGUGAUCACAUUCAGAAUGAGCAAGUUCACUGCUUUACUUGGCUUCGGUUGAUGUGUGUGUGUAUAUACAUUUAAAACGGGCACAGAUCAAGGUUUGCAAGAUUAUAUGGAUAAGAAGCCCUAGUUCGCAACCUUGAUAUAUGACCUAUAAGUUAAUGCCACAUCUUCAAACACCUUCAGUAAGUAGAAAAACUCAUUUCAAAUUUGCUAAACCUGUUGCACACAAAUAAAGAAUCCGUAAAUAUUAUAAGUAGACAUAAAAUAUGAAAUUAGAACAUCAUAUAGUUUAUGAGAUAAAUAAGGUUAAAAAUAAGCAGCAGUAGAACUACAGGCAUGUAAUUGCAAAUGAGAAUAACGGUGGCAUUUUUUUUUUCUUUCGCUACGAAAGUGCAUGUGUUUUUAGUUUAUUAUUUUCCAGGGAUAAUUAACUAAACAAUUAAAAAGUUAUGUUGCAUUAUUAUUCCUCUUCCCUUGAUGCUUGAUGCUUGAUGCUUGAUGCAUUCUAAAAAGACAAGUUUUGGACAACCUGAACGCAGAAUACAAGGAUUUACCAUAACAAAGAUCCUAAAUGUUAACUGCAAAAUUUCUUUCCAAGAUCCCUCAAAUCACCAUGAAUAUUGUCCUAGUGUUAAAAUUUAGACAUUAUACAUCUUCCUUCUGGGAAAUGAAUAGAAAAUAUAGCAGGUUUUUACCCUACCCCAACAAGCUAAACUCCAACAACACUAAGGUUAACAUAUACCUGACGCAGAUGGGUUUUUGCUCAGUUCUUGUACUUCAUGGUUUCUUUCUCAAACCCAAUAGUUGGGAAUUGUUUAGCAUACUCUUCAACAUCAUGGCGCAGUUUUGCAAUCUCAGAUUGGAAAGUAGGAAUUGUAGCCACAAAGUCCUUCAACUUUGUCCCUGAUUUACAAAAAUUAAUACGGCACAAAUUGAAGACCCACAAUCAACCAUAAAUAUAAAGUCAUGAGGUCACACAUCACAUAACCAGUAUGAGCACCAGUAAUGACCAGAUCUAAGGUAGCAAUUAAUAUAUUAUCCGAGACUUACUAACCUUUGGUUUGAGCCUUGAUCUUCACUGCCAACUGCACAGCAGCGUCAAAGAAUUCUGCUACCUUAACAAAAUCCUCCUCAGCAAAUCCCCGAGAUGUAAGAGCGGGGGUUCCCAUCCUUAUGCCACCAGGAACCAUGGCAGAUACAUCUCCUGGAACGGUGUUUUUGUUUGCAGCAAUGUGAACAGCUUCCAGCACCUUUUCAACUCUGGAGCCAUCAAUACCCUGAUAUCAUGAAAAUUUUAGGGAACAGAGGAAAAAAAAAAUGAAAAGAAAGAACAAGUACCACCAUCCUACUUUUCAUGAUUAAAAUCAAAUAAAUUUACAACCAUGAAAUGGGCCACACAUGCUAUAUUCUGUAAACAUAAGUAAAAUUGUCUUAAAGCAACCUUGUACAACUUUGGCUAAUAUAAAAAAAAAAAUUUCUAUUGGCUGGCCAAAUAAGAGAAAAGAAAAUCCUCCUACCUUGUUCUUCAAAUUCACCAAAACUAAAUGGUUCUCAGUUCCACCAGAAACAAGUUCAUAUCCCUUCUCAACUAAAGUCUGCGAAAGUAGUAAAAUUCCAGGCUAUCAAGAUACUGGAGGAUACCAGAUUAGGUCCAUACUCUAAAGUGAUAAAAUUUCAUCAUCAAAGGUUCUCAUCAAUGAGAUAAAGUUAUGUUUAUAUAAUAAUGUUUUAGUAACAAACUUCACUGCAUCUAAUAAGGUGAUACCUGUGCGAACUUUGAGCAAUUACUAAGAACUUGCUCUUGAUAAGCUUUGUACUCUGUAGUUGUAGCCUACAUGAUAGAGCAUGAAUAUAUGAAUAAAAUAGAAGAGAAAAAUAGUAAAGUGAAAUGCUAUGCUAAUUUUGACUUAACCGGACCAGUCACUUUUGACUUAACCUGCAAAUUUUCAUACUAUAUUAGUUUGAGUGCACAUUCUGACAGGUUUGGCUGAGAUAAAAAUUGCCACCUAUAGAAAUAUAAAAUCAAUGAAAAAUAUCUUAUAAGCAAAAUUACCUGUUUCAAUGCAACUGCUAACCCGGCUAUUGUGUGGUUGUGGGGGCCACCUUGAAGUCCAGGAAAGACAGCUUGAUUGAUUUUGUCUUCAUAGUCAUAGAACACCUGUUGACCUUGUUUGUUAACUUCUUUCACACCCUUCCUGAAGAAAAUCAUGGCUCCACGUGGCCCACGAAGUGACUUGUGAGUUGUGGUGGUCACUAUAUCUGCAUAUUCAAAAGGUGAUGGGAUGACACCACCUGCAACCAAUCCACUAAUAUGUGCCAUAUCUGCCAACAGUAUAGCUUUUUGCUUGUCACAAACCUUGCGAAUACGUGCAUAAUCAUAUAGACGAGCAUAAGCACUAGCACCGGCAACUAUUAACUUUGGUCUGAAAAGAGUGGCACUUUUCUCCAACUGGUCAUAGUCAAUAUAGCCAGUGCUCUCAUUCAAUCUGUAUGGCAUCGUCUCAAAAAAUAUUGACACUGCAGAUAUUUUUUUGGUAUCCGUCUGAUAACCAUGGGAAAGAUGCCCACCAUGAGGAAGAUCAAGUGCCAUGAUUCUUUCAUGAGGUUUUAACAAUGCAGUAUAGACUUGAAAAUUUGCUGGAGACCCAGAUAGAGACUGCACAUUCACUCCCCAUUUUGCAGGAUCCAAUCGAAACGCUUCCAAUGCCCGCUUCUGACAUAAGGAUUCUGCCAUGUCAAUAUACUCGUUUCCUCCAUAAUAUCUUGCACCAGGGUAUCCUUCGCUAUACUUGUUGGUCAUGACUGAUCCAACAGCUUGCAUCACCGACACAGAAGUGAAGUUCUCUGAGGGUAUGAGUUCAAGCCCCUUCCAUUGGCGCGCUUUCUCGAGCUCAAUUAUGUCAGCAAUCUCAGGGUCCACCGCUUCCAGCGGUGCAUUGAGCUGCUUUGGCCACCUGACAUGAGAUUUCUCCUUCUCAUACACAGCUUCAUCAGGCAACGAAGACAUGUAAUAGAGGGAGGUGGCAUUGAAGAGAGGGCGAAUAGGUUUGUCAAUAGAAGAGGAGAGCCUGCGAAGCGCCAUUGCCAUUGCCAUUUCUUCUCUUUCUUUCUCUGAAUUUGAAUAUUGUUCUUGCGUUUUGAUGGACUCGCGGUGGUUAAAAAAAUAUUUAAUUUUAUUUAUAUUUAUUUAUUUAUU